AACGCAUCUUGCGCUCCUUGGUAUUCCGAGGAGCAUGCCUGUUUGAGUGUCAUUUAAACUCUCAAACCACAUCAUUCGUUUGACGUGGCUUUGGACGUGGGGGUUUGCUGGGCUCUUCUUCUCAGCUCCCCUGAAAUGCAUUAGUGGUAUCUGGAGCGGAAAACCGCUAGGUGUGAUAAAUACUGUCUAUGCCUUUGGUUAUGCCGUGUGUGCUGCUUCCCAACGCAACAUUUAUUUGACAAACUUGACCUCAAAUCAGGUAGGACUACCCGCUGAACUUAA
rnacentral:misc_RNA from 1 species